GACGAAGUUAAUAAGGGCGUGCGGUGGAUGUCUUGGCGUUGAGAGGCGAUGAAGGACGUGGGAACCUGCGAAAAGCCCAGACGAGCUGGUAACCGAGCAUUGACUCUGGGAUCUCCGAAUGGGGCAACCCUCCCGACUUGUCGGGAAUCGGCAUCUGAAUGUAUAGGGUGCCGAGGCGAACCCGGGGAACUGAAACAUCUCAGUACCCGGAGGAAAAGAAAGCAAACGCGAUUCCGUCAGUAGCGGCGAGCGAAAUCGGAACAGCCCAAACCCGUCUUCGGACGGGGGUUGUGGGCGCCAAUGUGGCACAUCGGCUUGCUUGGUGAAUCGUCUGGAAAGGCGAACCACAGAAGGUGAUAGUCCUGUAGUAAAGCGAAAUGAUGGCCUAGGCGUUCCAGAGUAGCACGGAGCUCGUGGAACUCUGUGUGAAACUGGGGGGUCCACCCUCCAAGGCUAAAUACUCCUCAACGACCAAUAGCGCACCAGUAAGGCGACUGAACGAUGAAAAGCACCCCGAUAAGGGGAGUGAAAAGUACCUGAAACCGCAUGCCUACAAGCGGUCGGAGCCCUCGCAUUCUUCGGGAUGUUGGGGUGACGGCGUGCCUUUUGCAUAAUGAGUCGACGAGUUACUCUCUGUGGCAAGGCUAAGUUGUAUCCCAACGGAGCCGAAGGGAAACCGAGUCUUAAACGGGCGUGUAGUCGCAGGGGGUAGACGCGAAACCGAGUGAUCUACCCAUGGGCAGGUUGAAGAGAGGGUAAUGCCUCUUGGAGGACCGAACCCACUAACGUUGAAAAGUUAGGGGAUGACCUGUGGGGAGGAGUGAAAGUCUAAUCAUACUCGGAGAUAUCUCGUUCUCCUCGAAAUAGCUUUAGGGCUAGCCUCACGUGAUACCCUCUGGGGGUAGAGCGACUGGAUGGGGCUGGGGGGCCACAAGCCUACCCACCUCAACCAAACUCCGAAUACCAGAGGGCUCUAUCGUGGGAGUCAGUCCGCGGGAGAUAAUUUCCGCGGUCAAAAGGGAAACAGCCCAGACCGUCAGUUAAGGCCCCUAAACAGUUCUAAGUUUCUAAGGUAGUCGGAUUGCUAUGACAGCCGGGAUGUUGGCUUAGAAGCAGCCACCAUUUAAAGAGUUCGUAACAGAUCACCGGUCGAGGAAUCCGGCGCCGAAAAUGAUCGGGAAUAAGGAUUGUGCCGAAACUGCGGAUCCCGACUUGUCGGGAUGGUAGAGGAGCGUUCCUGUCAGCGUCGAAGCCGUUCCGGAAGGAACGGUGGAGCGGCAGGAAGUGAAUAUGUCGACUUGAGUAACGAUAAACGGAGUGAGAAUCUCCGUCGCCGAAAGCCUAAGGUUUCCUGGGGAAGGUAAAUCCGCCCAGGGUUAGGCGGGGCCUAAGGCGAGGCCGAAAGGCGUAGUCGAUGGAUAGCCGGUUAAUAUUCCGGCCCUCCCGUGUGCGGUUGAACCAACGCGACGAAUCGUGAAGCUCGGCGGGACAGUGAAGCGUCCAGGCCCUUGUGGCCGAUGUCGGGUGGAUCGGUUCCACGAAAAGCCGUUUGGUGACAAGCACGGGACCCGUACUAAAACUGACACAGGUAGGCGUGGCGAAUAGCCUCAGGCGCUCGAGAGAACGGUUGUGAAGGAACUCGGCAAAUUCACCCCGUACGUUCGCAAGAAGGGGGCCCUCCAGGUAAUGCUGAGGGCGCAGAGAAAAGGCUCUGGCGACUGUUUAUCAAAAACACAGCACUGUGCUAACUCGCAAGAGGACGUAUACAGUGUGACACCUGCCCGGUGCCGGAAUGUUAAGGAAGCAGGUUAGCCCGACUUGUCGGGCAAAGCUUGCGACCGAAGCACCGGUAAACGGCGGCUCUAACUAUGAGAGUCCUAAGGUAGCGAAGUUCCUUGUCGGGUAAGUUCCGACGCGCAUGAAUGGUGUAACGACUGGAGCACUGUCUCCACAACCGACUCGGUGAAAUAGUAGUGGCGGUGAAGAUGCCGCCUACCCGCGGCAAGACGGAAAGACCCCGUGGACCUUUACUGUAGGCUUGUAUUGGUCAUGGACCUGUACUGCGUAGGAUAGGUGGGAGGCUUUGAAGCCGGGAUUUUGGUCCUGGUGGAGCCACCCUUGAAAUACCACCCUGUACCCGUUUGUGGCCUAACCCCGAUUCCCAUGAAGCUGGGCGGGGGACCGUGCAUGCUGGGCAGUUUGACUGGGGCGGUCUCCUCCUAAAAAGUAACGGAGGAGCGCAAAGGUCGGCUCAGCAUGGUUGGAAACCAUGUGACGAGUGUAAGAGCAUAAGCCGGCUUUACUGCGAGACAUACACGUCGAGCAGUUACGAAAGUAGGCUCUAGUGAUCCUGCGGUCCCGUGUGGAAGGGCCGUAGCUCAACGGAUAAAAGGUACCCCGGGGAUAACAGGCUGAUCGCACCCGAGCGUCCAUAGCGGCGGUGCGGUUUGGCACCUCGAUGUCGGCUCAUCACAUCCUGGGGCUGAAGGCGGUCCCAAGGGUUGGGCUGUUCGCCCAUUAAAGUGGUACGCGAGCUGGGUUCAGACCGGCGUGAGCCAGGUUGGUCCCUAUCUGCCGUGGGCGUUGCAACAUUGACAGGAUUUCUCCCUAGUACGAGAGGAUUGGGAGGGACCCACCCCUGGUGCGCCAGUUGGACCGCUCGGUCCAUCGCUGGGUAGCUAAGUGGGGCAGGGAUAACCGCUGAAAGCAUCUAAGCGGGAAGCCCCCCUGGAGAUGAGUGUUGCAUGGACCCUCGUGGUCCGAGAGACCCCUGAUAGACCAUCAGGUUGAUCGGCCGCACGUGUACGCGUGGAAACACGCUUAGCGAAGCGGUACGAACGGUCGAUGACUUCGUCGC
rnacentral:rRNA from 1 species